GCCCAGGGUUGCAGCUUUAAAACUCACUGCUGUUUUCCUUCUGCAGGAAUGGGCCGUUUCUUAAGUGGGAUCACAGAUGAGAUGAAACAGAGUCACAGAGAAAAGCUGUUUGCUGUCGAUCAGAAAAGUUUAGUGGACGUGGCUGAAAGGUACCUCAGUGUUGGUCAGAGGACGCGUGGCGUUGCAAUCCUGGGCCCAGAAAACGACACGAU